AGACCCUUAGCACCCCGGGCUGCUAGCUCAUUGGACGAGCGCCGCUUUGACUCGGCGGAGGAUCUGGUUCGAUUCCAGGAGGGUCUA
rnacentral:tRNA from 1 species